GGAGGUGUGGCCGAGUGGACAAAGGCAGCAGACUGUAAAUCUGCCGGCGUAAGCCUACGGUGGUUCGAAUCCAUCCGCCUCCACCA
rnacentral:tRNA from 1 species